rnacentral:rRNA from 1 species
AACGUACGCUGGCGGCACGCCUAACACAUGCAAGUCGAACGAAGUAGCAAUACUUAGUGGCAGACGGGUGAGUAACAUGUGGGUAUCUGCCCUUUGGCCUGGAAUAACACGAGGAAACUUGUGCUAAUACCGGAUAAGUCUUUACGGAGAAAGCUUUAUGCACCAUUGGAUGAGCCCGCACUUGAUUAGUUUGUUGGUGGGGUAAUGGCCUACCAAGACUGUGAUCAAUAGCUGAUUUGAGAGGAUGAUCAGCCACAUUGGGACUGAGACACGGCCCAAACUCCUACGGGAGGCAGCAGUGGGGAAUCUUGCACAAUGGAGGAAACUCUGAUGCAGCGAUGCCGCGUGAGUGAAGAAGGCCCUUGGGUUGUAAAGCUCUUUCGUCGGGGAAGAAAAUGACUGUACCCGAAUAAGAAGGUCCGGCUAACUUCGUGCCAGCAGCCGCGGUAAUACGAAGGGACCUAGCGUAGUUCGGAAUUACUGGGCUUAAAGAAUUCGUAGGUGGUUGAAAAAGUUAGUGGUGAAAUCCCAGAGCUUAACUCUGGAACUGCCAUUAAAACUUUUCAGCUAGAGUAUGAUAGAGGAAAGCAGAAUUUCUAGUGUAGAGGUGAAAUUCGUAGAUAUUAGAAAGAAUACCAAUUGCGAAGGCAGCUUUCUGGAUCAUUACUGACACUGAGGAACGAAAGCAUGGGUAGCGAAGAGGAUUAGAUACCCUCGUAGUCCAUGCCGUAAACGAUGUGUGUUAGACGUUGGAAAUUUAUUUUCAGUGUCGCAGCGAAAGCGAUAAACACACCGCCUGGGGAGUACGACCGCAAGGUUAAAACUCAAAUGAAUUGACGGGGACCCGCACAAGUAGUGGAGCAUGUGGUUUAAUUCGAAGAUACGCGCAGAACCUUACCAACACUUGACAUGUUCGUCGCGACUCUAAGAGAUUAGAGUUUUCGGUUCGGCCGGACGAAACACAGGUGCUGCAUGGCUGUCGUCAGCUCGUGUCGUGAGAUGUUGGGUUAAGUCCCGCAACGAGCGCAACCCUCACUUUUAGUUGCCAUCAUUAAGUUGGGCACUCUGAAAGAACUGCCAGUGAUAAGCUGGAGGAAGGUGGGGAUGACGUCAAGUCCUCAUGGCCCUUACGUGUUGGGCUACACACGUGCUACAAUGGUAUCUACAACAGGAAGCAAGACUGCGAGGUCAAGCAAAUCCUUAAAAGAUACCUCAGUUCGGAUUGCACUCUGCAACUCGAGUGCAUGAAGCUGGAAUUACUAGUAAUCGUGGAUCAGCGUGCCACGGUGAAUGCGUUCCCGGGUCU